GUGGGGAAUCUUGCGCAAUGGGCGAAAGCCUGACGCAGCCAUGCCGCGUGAAUGAUGAAGGUCUUAGGAUUGUAAAAUUCUUUCACCGGGGACGAUAAUGACGGUACCCGGAGAAGAAGCUCCCGCUAACUUCGUGCCAGCAGCCGCGGUAAUACGAAGGGGGCUAGCGUUGCUCGGAAUUACUGGGCGUAAAGGGCGCGUAGGCGGACAGCUUAGUCAGAGGUGAAAGCCCAGGGCUCAACCUUGGAAUUGCCGUUGAUACUGGAUGUCUUGAGUUUGGGAGAGGUGAGUGGAACUCCGAGUGUAGAGGUGAAAUUCGUAGAUAUUCGGAAGAACACCAGUGGCGAAGGCGACUCACUGGCCCAAUACUGACGCUGAGGCGCGAAAGCGUGGGGAGCAAACAGGAUUAGAUACCCGGGUAGUCC
rnacentral:rRNA from 1 species